UGUCUAGGGGUUCAAACCUAAAGAACCCAAAUAUCUAAACGGAGAAAUUCAAUACUGUCCUUUGCGGGAUGGUGUGCACUUUUCUCUUAGUAAGACGUUGUGAUCCAUUAGGAAUGGAGUGCUCGUUAUGGGCGCUCGAUAGGCUAUCAAUAGACGGACUUUGAAGUUCACGAGAACAAAUGGCAUGAUCUUUUGGUUGUGUGUAUUGCCUUGUGAGCAAAGUCAUGUACUGAUAUAGCUGUCUGAUGGAUUUUAAAGGUCAUAUCAUUGAUGCUUGCAUCACCCGACUUGUUUCGGGCAUCUGGUAUGUACCCGAUCAACAACGGUUUCAUUUGGGAUACCUUUGGGACCCGUCUUGAAACACGGACCAAGGAGUCUAUCUAGUAUGCGAGUAAAUGGGAUAGUUAGCUAAACCUAUUUGCGUAAAUAACUUAACUGUUAUGGGAUUACGUGUACAUUUACUUUACGGUGUGUGCACCUCCAUCCCGGAGUAUUUUCAUCACAUAUACGAGCAAUCGCAUAUAGAAAAUAUAUCAUGAGCAUACUGGACAUGACCCGAAAGAUGGUGAACUAUGCCUGAUCAGGUUGAAGUCAGGGGAAACCCUGAUGGAGGACCGAAGCAAUUCUGACGUGCAAAUCGAUUGUCAGAAUUGGGCAUAGGGGCGAAAGACCAAUCGAACCAUC
rnacentral:rRNA from 1 species